AUUGUGCAGGCAAGGCCUGUGUGCCCGUGGAUGUCUCCCGUGUGUGUCCGUGUGGCAGGGCUGGGACAAGGACUCGUGCAGGGACCGAGCUGGCACUGGAGCUGCUGCCAUCCUGAGCCACUGCCAAGGGCUGGGGAGAGACCAUCUGGGAGGCUGUUGCCAGGGUUCCAUUGGGAGCUGGAUCUCCCUCCAGCUGCAGCAGCCAGGGGAGGGUUCUUCCUUGUGCAGCCCAGUGGCUUCUGCUCAGGCUGGCCCAGAGUGGGGCUGGGGCAGGUUCUCCAGGGAACUGGAGCCAGCCCUGAACGGGGCUCUGGAGAGCAGGAGCUGCAGGGACUGAGGUUUGCAAAGCUGGGCUGAAGUUUGUCAAAGCAGCAGAACAUUCUCAUUCCUGUGGGUCUGUGGAGUCCGUGUUGGUGCCCAGGAGAACUGGGUCAGACUGGGCUUUGUGCUCCGAGAGCUGCCCCCCUAAAUGUGGCAGGCUGUGUGUGCUGGCAAGGAAGUGCUGUCCCAGAGGCUGAUGGUUUCUGUCUCCAGGUGUGCCCAGGACACUGCCAAUGCCCAGGGAUCUGCUCUGGGUCCAGACUGUCCGUGCUGGAGGGCCCUGGUGGCUGCAGUCCCUGAGCCCGCAGAGACAGAGAGAGCCCCGGCCCGAGUGGCCUUUGGCCCCUUGUCCUGAAUUUGGGGUGAGCCUGGGAGCGUGUGGAGGAUGCUGGAAUUGCCUCUCUGGGUGUGUGCUGAGCUCUGGCUGCAGGGGACUGUCAGGCCUUGGUGGCUCUGUUCCCUGCUGUCCAUUCCCUGGCCUGAAUUCCUUGCAGCUCCCAGCUGGGGAAACCUGGGAUAACAUGGCAGGGACAGAGGUGACAUUUGUAGCUGCCAACUUGGGGUAAUUUCGAAGGGACCCAACAACUGUUUCUGAAG